UACAGAGGGUGCAAGCGUUAAUCGGAAUUACUGGGCGUAAAGCGCACGUAGGUGGGUGUUUAAGUCGAAUGUGAAACCCUCGAGCUUAACUUGGGGACUGCAUGCGAUACUGAACAUCUAGAGUAUAGUAGAGGGAAGUGGAAUUUCCGGAGUAGCGGUGAAAUGCGUAGAUAUCGGAAGGAACACCAGUGGCGAAGGCGGCUCGCUGGGCCGGACCUGACGCUGAGACGCGAAGGCGUGGGGAGCGAACGGG
rnacentral:rRNA from 1 species